UUACUUACCUGACGUUGCUAUCAAGUGAUCAAUAAGGCUUGAUAGCUGGAGAGGAUCCCUGGCAUUGCACUCCGCCUGGGGAGCCACUCUGCGAACGCCCUAAUAUAAUUGGGUGUCUCGGGCGUAUAAUUUUUGUUUGACGGAGGACGUGCGCUCGUCGCUGU
rfam:Smittium culicis strain GSMNP scaffold-631, whole genome shotgun sequence.